AGCUCCAAUAGCGUAUAUUAAAGUUGUUGCAGUUAAAAAGCUCGUAGUUGGAUUUUUGGCUGGAGCGGUCGGCCCGACCAUUGUGUUGGUGCUGGACUGGCUCCGGUCAUGUUUGGGUGGAUGGUGUGUGGCAUUAAGUUGUCGUGCAUCGGAUGCCCAUCGUUUACUGUGAAAAAAUUAGAGUGUUCAAAGCAGGCUUAUGCCGUUGAAUAUAUUAGCAUGGAAUAAUGAGAUAGGACCUGGGUACUAUUUCGUUGGUUUGCGCACCGAGGUAAUGAUUAAUAGGGACAGUUGGGGGUAUUCGUAUUCCAGUGUCAGAGGUGAAAUUCUUGGAUUUCUGGAAGACGAACUACUGCGAAAGCAUUUACCAAGGAUGUUUUCAUUAAUCAAGAACGAAAGU
rnacentral:rRNA from 1 species